UACAGAGGUCUCAAGCGUUGUCCGGAUUUAUUGGGCGUAAAGCGCGCGCAGGCGGUCCUUUAAGUCUGAUGUGAAAUCUUGCGGCUCAACCGCAAGCGGUCAUUGGAAACUGGGGGACUUGAGUACAGAAGAGGAAAGCGGAAUUCCACGUGUAGCGGUGAAAUGCGUAGAGAUGUGGAGGAACACCAGUGGCGAAGGCGGCUUCCUGGUCCAGCACCGACGUUCAGGCACGAAAGCGUGGGGAGCAAACAGG
rnacentral:rRNA from 1 species